UUCCAAUGUUGUGCCUCCAGCUAUAGCAGGCAUGGACAACUUUGCAAUAUUAGAACUGUAUUGCUGUUUUUUUAAUCUGCUGGAAGUGAUAUCACAUCACUUCUGAGUGCUAUUUUGACUGAUGUUUGGCCAUUUUUUAUUUGGGGUGAAGAUAUGGAAGGUUCUAGGACAUGAGAAAGAACAUUGCCAAAGUUGUGGGCACCUCUGGGUAUAUAGAUUUAGGUGAUAAAUGACCCCCAAUGUGACAUGAUUUAAUCUUUUUGUAAAUGGGACUUUGGGGGAGUUUUUUUGGAGGGUUUCAGGGUCUGUUUUUGCAGGUGUCAAGGGUUGCAUGCAGCCUAAAAAGGUUCACCAUAUUGUUCACCUUUAAACUACAGGAAUAGAGCUGAAUUAUUAUUUGAACCACUGCCUUCUGCAACAGGUAAAAGUUGGGUUAUGGGGCAGAUGGGGAAAGAGACAUGCUACAGUUCCACCCAAUGAAACUUUGUACUUGUUAUGUUAUUUUCAACUCAUGGAGACUGUAAGGCAAAUGAAUUAUAGGAUUUUCUGAGGUAUGAGUGUGUGACUGGGUUUCCAUGACUGAGUGGGGAUUCAAACCCUUUUUCUUCCACUCAAUUUUCCAUUUACCUGAUGAUCAGUUAGCAUUUUGUGCUCUAGUUUGUGCCCUGACACCUACUUUUUCUUGUGUAUUGAUCCGGUGAAUUUGGUGAAAUUGGUAACAACACUCACACCUGAACAGUGAUAACAGCAGGAAUGAUAACUGCUUCAUCAUGUGUCAUUUCCAUUUGGAGGUUGUAACUAAUAUCUGCUGAUAGAUCCAUUCGCCAGGAAUUUGAGUAAUCCAUUUUAUGUGUCAUCCAAGCCUGCAGGCAUCACUACUUCCUCGCAGUGGUGAAUUCUAAUGCAUUAAUUAUUAUGCAGCGUGUGUGAAGAUAUGCUAUCUUGUCCGUCUUGAACCUAUUUUGACACAGUGACACAGGAAACCUGGUUGGAUAAGCAGGAAUCCUGCAAAUCUCUUGGGAAGACAGGUGGACAAAUGUCAGCAUUCUGGAAGAAGCAAAGACCACCAGCACUGAAGUGAUAAUUCUCCUCCACCAACUUCGCUGGACUGGUCACGUUGUCCUAAUGCCUAAUCGCCAUCUCCCAAAGCAGUUACGAUGCUCUUAACUCAAGAAUGGAAAAUGGAAUGUUGGUGGACAGCAAAAGAGAUUUAAAGAUGAGCUUAAAGUUAAGCAUAAAAACUGUAGCACAGACACUGAGAACUGGGAAUCCCUAACUUGAGGUUAGCAUUCUACCAGAGGUCAGCUGCUACCAACAGUGCUGCAGAAUUCAGAGUCAUGAAUGCAGGAUGAAAGGAAGAAACAUGUCAAGAGAAAGACACCUCAAACAAAUCCUUGUUGCAGUCACCUUCCAUUUGGAAAUCUAUGUCCUCUGGACCAUGUGGAUCCAGAAUAGGUCUGCACAGAUCCAGCUCCAAGUCUCUACCUUUGGAAGACCAUCAAACUUGGCCAUGAGUGAUUGUCCCUGAGUGAGGGGACUUAAUAGUUGAGGCAGAGAUCAUGAAGCUACCAUAGAGUUACACUAAGGCCCACAAUGUCUAUUUAUCUCCAAGCAGUUGCAGUCUGAGAAUGUGUUUUCGUGUGACUGCAGAUUUUGCUUACAGGGGUGGGAGAAUUUUACCACUGUGCUCCAUUACUGUGCACCUGUUAUUUAAAGUCUCUCUAGAUCUCUCAAAUAAAAAAAAGAGAUGAGAAAUGACACACUCACGCCGCAUUGCCCAAGCAGCUGCAAGACUGACCAGAAACAUAGUGGUUUGACUUGAUUUCCCCCAUAACUCCCCCAAACCAUUCCAAAGAUAAUUCCUGGUCAAAUUUGAAACUGGAAGUGUGAGUCUAUUGCCGACUUCAUCCGGUCAUCCUGGAGAACCUGGAGAUUUCAUAAGAGAACAACUCUGUGUGAAUCUCUAGGUCAGUGAUUCUCAUCCUGGGAUCUCCAGAUGUUUUUGGCCUACAACUCCCAGAAAUCCCAGCUAGUUUACCAGCUGUUAGGAUUUCUGGGAGUUGAAGGCCAGAAACAUUUGGGGACCCCAGGUUGAGAACCGCUGCUUUAGGUCUUCCAAUGCAGUGCAAUUGUCAAGUUCCAGUGGACGUUGACUAUAGAGUCAUGCUGGAAAACCUAGAAAUGAACAGAGAUUUAUUCUUUCAGGUUAAAAAAUAGCGACUUAUUUCCUCACAAUUUUUCAUGUGGGUCCUGUGGCCCUAACCACAGCAAAUGCAGAGGGAUGACUGCAAUUAUAGAGUUUGGGGUGUCCUUUCUCACAAUGUACAUGGUUGGAAAUGGGUUGUUGACUGUGAAGCCAGAGCAAAAUUGGAUGCAGAAAGUAUGAACAUCGACAACUUCAGUAUUAACACUACUCAUUAGCAAAACUUAGUGAUAACACAAGUUAUCACUGCUGUAAGUAAGGUGGCUAACAGAUGUUGUGCGAUAAACAUCUGUUAUCUGGUACAAACUUCAGCUCCGCAGUUCAUCACUGUGAUUUACUUGUUUCCUGUUUCCAAGUGUCUGCGGAACCAUGGAGUUGUGUUGCACGUUGAAGAACUAUUGACACAGGUUACACACAACACUAUUGUCUGGUGUUUAACACAGGAAGACCACUUGGAUGCAAAGGGACACCUUUCCACUUUGUCCUUGUUAUUCAUUUGUUUAAAAUCUGUUUCACCUCGGGAUUAACUCAAGAAUGGUAAAAUCUGUUGCCUUAUUAGUAUUAUCUCUCAUCCAAUUAAUGAAUAAACUAAUGGCUUAAUUUUGGGAUUAAGUUAAUGCAGAAAAGCCAGUUUAAGACAUCCACUGUAAUUU